AUGGCGAAUGCUUGACGAAACUACACCUAUCACGUGCCAGGACGCGGGUUCGAGUCCCGCCCGCCCGCAAGGGCGGUAGCUCAGUCGGAUAGAGCAGGAAAACGUUUCGUCGCCUUUUGUCGCAAUGCA
rnacentral:Y_RNA from 1 species